ACUCCUACGGGAGGCAGCAGUGGGGAAUUUUGGACAAUGGGCGCAAGCCUGAUCCAGCAAUGCCGCGUGAGUGAAGAAGGCCUUCGGGUUGUAAAGCUCUUUUGUCAGGGAAGAAACGGUGGGGGCUAAUAUCCCUUGCUAAUGACGGUACCUGAAGAAUAAGCACCGGCUAACUACGUGCCAGCAGCCGCGGUAAUACGUAGGGUGCAAGCGUUAAUCGGAAUUACUGGGCGUAAAGCGUGCGCAGGCGGUUUUGUAAGUCUGUCGUGAAAUCCUCGGGCUCAACCUGAGAAUUGCGAUGGAGACUGCAAGGCUAGAAUCUGGCAGAGGGGGGUAGAAUUCCACGUGUAGCAGUGAAAUGCGUAGAGAUGUGGAGGAACACCGAUGGCGAAGGCAGCCCCCUGGGUCAAGAUUGACGCUCAUGCACGAAAGCGUGGGGAGCAAACAGGAUUAGAUGCCCUGGUAGUCCACGCCCUAAACGAUGUCUACUAGUUGUCGGGUUUUAAUUAACUUGGUAACGCAGCUAACGCGUGAAGUAGACCGCCUGGGGAGUACGGUCGCAAGAUUAAAACUCAAAGGAAUUGACGGGGACCCGCACAAGCGGUGGAUGAUGUGGAUUAAUUCGAUGCAACGCGAAAAACCUUACCUACCCUUGACAUGUACGGAAGCCACGAGAGAUCGAGGUGUGCUCGAAAGAGAGCCGUAACACAGGUGCUGCAUGGCUGUCGUCAGCUCGUGUCGUGAGAUGUUGGGUUAAGUCCCGCAACGAGCGCAACCCUUGUCAUUAGUUGCUACGAAAGAGCACUCUAAUGAGACUGCCGGUGACAAACCGGAGGAAGGUGGGGAUGACGUCAAGUCCUCAUGGCCCUUAUGGGUAGGGCUUCACACGUCAUACAAUGGUACAUACAGAGGGCCGCCAACCCGCGAGGGGGAGCUAAUCCUAGAAAGUGUAUUGUAGUCCGGAUUGUAGUCUGCAACUCGACUACAUGAAGUUGGAAUCGCUAGUAA
rnacentral:rRNA from 1 species